GGCUGAGGGUUACACUCAGCAUCUAGAAGCUGUCUGCAGUUUCUUGCCAUGUGACCCGUUCCAGAAGCCAUCUCACACUACUAAUCUCUGACUUCUGUCUCCAGCGUCCAGACCCAGACUUAAAAGGCUCAUAAAAGCGGCUCCAGGAUACACGAAUUAUUUAAACCACCAGGAACAUACACAAGAAAGAGGUAUUAAAAAAGAUGGGUGUUUCUAAUGGAUCACAAUGUUUGAAUACAUAUGAAGAACUUCCUGAGAAAAGAAGGCCUAAGGUACUAUAAAAAACACAAGUGAGAAACUGAAACCUUAUGGUGCUGAAAUUUGGAUAUAUUUGCACCUGGGGUUUGGACACACUUGCACCUGGAAACCAAAGUACGUGGUAAUAAAGUCCUUCGUGGUGACAACUUUCCUACAGGAAAAUUGCAAAGUCCUUCACAAAACUAAGCCUCUCUUGGCUUCAUGGCAUCUCUGUGUGGUGAACACAUGAAAACUAGUAAUAAAAUAUGUAUA